rnacentral:pre_miRNA from 1 species
UGGAAAGUUCAUUGUUCGACACCAUGGAUCUCCAGGUGGGUCACGUUUAGAGAUGCACCAACCUGGAGGACUCCAUGCUGUUGAGCUGUUCACGA